UCUGCUUUGGCUGGUUGUGUUGGAACCGGCAACAUUUUCGGUGUGGCCACAGCCAUCUUUGUGGGCGGGCCUGGUGCCGUAUUCUGGAUGUGGAUC
rnacentral:tRNA from 1 species